rnacentral:rRNA from 1 species
UACGGAGGGUGCAAGCGUUAUCCGGAUUCACUGGGCUUAAAGGGUGCGUAGGAGGGCAGGUAAGUCCGUGGUGAAAUCUCCGAGCUUAACUCGGAAACUGCCGUGGAUACUCUCUGUCUUGAAUCCCGUGGAGAUGAGCGGAAUAUGUCAUGUAGCGGUGAAAUGCUUAGAUAUGACAUAGAACACCGAUUGCGAAGGCAGCUCGUUGCGCGAAGAUUGACGCUGAGGCACGAAAGCGUGGGGAUCAAACAGG